UAGGGAAUCUUCCGCAAUGGACGCAAGUCUGACGGAGCAACGCCGCGUGAGUGAAGAAGGAUUUCGGUUCGUAAAACUCUGUUGUUAGAGAAGAACAGCGCAUAGAGUAACUGUUAUGCGUGUGACGGUAUCUAACCAGAAAGCCACGGCUAACUACGUGCCAGCAGCUGUGGUAAUACGUAGGUGGCAAGCGUUGUCCGGAUUUAUUGGGAGUAAAGCGAGCGCAGGCGGUCAAUUAAGUCUGAUGUGAAAGCCCCCGGCUCAACCGGGGAGGGUCAUUGGAAACUGAUUGACUUGAGUGCAGAAAAGGAGGGUGGAUUUCCAUGUGUAGCGGUGAAAUGCGUAGAUAUAUGGUAGAACACCGGUGGCGAAGGCGAAUCACUAGACUGUAACUGAGGCUGAGGUUCGAAAGCGUGUGUAGCAAACAGG
rnacentral:rRNA from 1 species